rnacentral:rRNA from 1 species
UCGAGAAUUUUUCUCAAUGGGCGAAAGCCUGAAGGAGCGACGCCGCGUGGAGGAUGAAGGUCUUCGGAUUGUAAACUCCUGUCAUGAGGGAACAAGAAAGUGAUAGUACCUCAAGAGGAAGAGACGGCUAACUCUGUGCCAGCAGCCGCGGUAAUACAGAGGUCUCAAGCGUUGUUCGGAUUCAUUGGGCGUAAAGGGUGCGUAGGCGGCGCUGUAAGUCUGGUGUGAAAUCCCGGGGCUUAACCCCGGAACUGCACUGGAUACUGCGGUGCUAGAGGACUGGAGAGGAGAUUGGAAUUCACGGUGUAGCAGUGAAAUGCGUAGAUAUCGUGAGGAAGACCAGUGGCGAAGGCGGAUCUCUGGACAGUUCCUGACGCUGAGGCACGAAGGCCAGGGGAGCAAACGGGAUUAGAUACCCCGGUAGUCCUGGCAGUAAACGGUGCACGUUUGGUGUGGGCGGAUUCGACCCGUCUGCGCCGGAGCUAACGCGUUAAACG